AGUGAACGCUGGCGGUAGGCCUAACACAUGCAAGUCGAACGGCAGCACAGGAGAGCUUGCUCUCUGGGUGGCGAGUGGCGGACGGGUGAGGAAUACAUCGGAAUCUACCUUUUCGUGGGGGAUAACGUAGGGAAACUUACGCUAAUACCGCUUACGACCUUCGGGUGAAAGCAGGGGACCUUCGGGCCUUGCGCGGAUAGAUGAGCCGAUGUCGGAUUAGCUAGUUGGUGGGGUAAAGGCCCACCAAGGCGACGAUCCGUAGCUGGUCUGAGAGGAUGAUCAGCCACACUGGAACUGAGACACGGUCCAGACUCCUACGGGAGGCAGCAGUGGGGAAUAUUGGACAAUGGGCGCAAGCCUGAUCCAGCCAUACCGCGUGGGUGAAGAAGGCCUUCGGGUUGUAAAGCCCUUUUGUUGGGAAAGAAAAGCAGCCAGUUAAUACCUGGUUGUUCUGACGGUACCCAAAGAAUAAGCACCGGCUAACUUCGUGCCAGCCGCCGCGGUAA
rnacentral:rRNA from 1 species